rnacentral:rRNA from 1 species
CAGUAGCCACGGUAAUACGUAGGGUGCAAGCGUUAAUCGGAAUUACUGGGCGUAAAGCGCACGCAGGCGGUUUGUUAAGUCAGAUGUGAAAUCCCCGAGCUUAACUUGGGAACUGCGUUUGAAACUGGCAAGCUAGAGUCUUGUAGAGGGGGGUAGAAUUCCAGGUGUAGCGGUGAAAUGCGUAGAGAUCUGGAGGAAUACCGGUGGCGAAGGCGGCCCCCUGGACAAAGACUGACGCUCAGGUGUGAAAGCGUGGGGAGCAAACAGGAUUAGAUACCCGCGUAGUCCCUGUCUCUUAUAC